rnacentral:tRNA from 1 species
GGGGGUGUAGCUCAGUGGCAGAGUGUUUGACUGCGGAUCAAGUAGUCCUUGGUUCAAGUUCAAGUGCCCCCU